ACUCAAGCGUUUCGUCCCAAAUAAUAAAUCAUCUUUUUUACAAGAACGUGGUUGUCCUGCACUGCCACUAAUAAAUUUUAAUUGGUUUAUUUUCUAAUGGACGAAUUUUCCCAUGAACCAUUUUCUUCCCCACAAAUUAGUCUAACACCCAAAUACUUUUCUACCAUCUUUUCAAAAUACUAUUCUUUUUAGUACUAUCAAACCAACAUUGUAAUCUUUUUAUUUUUUUUUUGCAUUGUUUAAAAAAUAUGUUUUCGAAAUAAGCAUGAAACGUCCAUGUCAAGGAACAACACAUACCAUGUGCCUCUCCUUACAAGAUUGAAGUGACAUGACCAUUGCUUUUGCUUUACUGGAAAAUAAAAUUUGCACUGUUGAUUUGAUGCAACUCUGCAAGAUAUUUAAAAAUAGAUGCAAUCCAUAUUUUUACAAGCUAGAAUGCCUUUGGUACAAGGGGAAGAUGCUAUAAUGUAAUUUACUUUGCUUACAUUCACAGGCGAAAGAACUUGAGUGUAAGUUUACUUUGCUUACGUUCACAGGCCGAAGAGCUUGAGUGUUAGUUAAUUCUACGACAUCAUGUUCUUGGAGAUAACAAUCAUGUUAAAGGAUUUCAAAUUUGAAGGAGACAGUUUUAAUUUAAAA